AAGUCGUAACAAGGUUUCCGUAGGUGAACCUGCGGAAGGAUCAUUAACACGUAUCCAACGUUAAACCCCCCGUGAACCUUUAUUGCGACGCCGAACAGUUUUGAUUCAGUGGAUCUCUGCGAAGAGAGCGGUUGUAGCGCGAGGUAAGUGGCCUGGCAUCCCUCUGCUUGUUAGUGUCUGAAAGUGUCACUAGCUCUGUACGGAUGGCGCAGUCACGAUCGCUGGAGGCCGACACGGCCGGCGACCGGGUCACCGGGCAUAGACCCCCCUAUCACCCCUUUGCAUGAAAACGGGCCUGCGCUUAAUUGUGCGGCCACCAAACUCGAACAACUGUUAACAAUGGAUAUCUUGGUUCUC
rnacentral:misc_RNA from 1 species